GAUGAACGCUGGCUACAGGCUUAACACAUGCAAGUCGAGGGGAAACGACGGGGAAGCUUGCUUCCCCGGGCGUCGACCGGCGCACGGGUGAGUAACGCGUAUCCAACCUGCCUCUGACUGAGGGAUAACCCGUCGAAAGUCGGCCUAAUACCUCAUGGCAUCGUCUGCGGGCAUCCAACGACGAUUAAAGAUUUCAUCGGUCAGGGAUGGGGAUGCGUCUGAUUAGCUUGUUGGCGGGGUAACGGCCCACCAAGGCUACGAUCAGUAGGGGUUCUGAGAGGAAGGUCCCCCACAUUGGAACUGAGACACGGUCCAAACUCCUACGGGAGGCAGCAGUGAGGAAUAUUGGUCAAUGGGCGGGAGCCUGAACCAGCCAAGUAGCGUGCAGGAUGACGGCCCUAUGGGUUGUAAACUGCUUUUAUGCGGGGAUAAAGUGAGGGACGUGUCCUUCAUUGCAGGUACCGCAGGAAUAAGGACCGGCUAAUUCCG
rnacentral:rRNA from 1 species